rnacentral:lncRNA from 1 species
GGGCAGCGUCCUGCUCGUCCUCCGCGCACCUUCCGCUGGGCUCCGGAGCGCCGAUCCCUCCGGAUCACGGGGCCCAGAGUGAGCCUGGCCUGGUCCUCUGCUACCCGGCUGGACCCUGCUGGCCAGGUGCUUGAACCGAGCGGCGUUGUCUGUGUGUAACCGCCAACUUCGCGGGUCACCGGAGAGAGAGGCGCAAAGAUCUGGGCGGAAAAGGCCAAUGCUCGUAUUUUUUUUUAAAGACCCCACCCCCACCCCCUAAGUAUUAAACUACGGUUUGCUGUUUACACACUAGACCUUCAACGGGUUGGCUCACGGUUUUGAUUCAGGAACUUUAAAUAGGAUAAACUAGAGGAGACAAUAGUCUUCCCACCGGUUUUUGUUCCAUGUUCAUGAGGUCGAUUUAGAAACCGUUGUGUUUGCUCUUACUUUGUUCUCCAGAUUUCCAGAACGGCAGGUGCGUGUGGGUGGGUUAAACCAGCUACUUCAAACUUUAUAGGACACUUGCCGAUUACAGGUUGAUAGUUUUCCCUUUCGUAGUAUUUGUCUUUUGUUAGUAAAUUAGCCAUCCGUAUUUUAUUUCAUAUAUUUGAAUCGGUACGUGCGCAAAGUAAACCCGCCCCCCCCCCCAAAAAAAAGAAAAUUCCCAGUUUUUUGUUUUAAUCGAGGGGGUAGGUGGGCUCACUUGAAGCCCAGGCUAAGCUGGCUUUGAAAUUCCUGCCUUGGCUUCCAAGAGGUGGUAUUUACAGGCUAGAUGCACUGCUGACACUCCUCUGGGGUGGAUUGCACUUUGAGAUAGGAUAGCUUUGAGUCGCAGACUCCUAUGGAAUCAAAUAGAAAUUACUGUCUGGACGUUUUGUACACUAGCUUCCAUCUUCUCUAAGCCUUAACUCCGUAGAGAAAGUGAAACUUUCAGAAAGAAAAUAUAUUUCUUAUUCUCCGUAAAUUGCUGAAUUGCUACUAGAAAUCAUCACGGGAGUUCUUUAAUGCCAGUCUUGAGGUUUUUAAAACAAGGAAUAUUUGAAAAGGAAGCUAACUUUAAACACCCUUAGAAAAUUAACUAGUAGCUUUCAGUUUCUGGUAUUUCCUUGACCCGUUGAUCUUAUUAGACCUGCCUAAGUUAUUUGUCCUCUUGUGUAAAAUUAUUCAUAGAGAUUUUGUAAAAGUUAAAAUUAGAAACCUAAGUAAACCCUCUACAGCAUGGUCUAACAAGAUUGACUAGUUCCUAUCUACUUGUCAUCGCUUUGACAAAACGAUGUUUGUUUUGAGACAGGUCUCACCAUGCAGGCCAGGCUGCUGACCUGGCGUUCACUGCGAUCAGGCUGAACCUAAACUCACAGAGAUCUGCCCACCUGCAGACUGCUCCAAUCACAGAGGUGGGUCAAGCCUAUCUAAGAUGUAACUUUUUUUUUUUUUAAUCAAAUAAAAGCAUGGAAUGAGAGUUUCCAUCAUAUCUUUGGUCA